rnacentral:lncRNA from 1 species
CACGGGGCCAGUCUGCAUGGGAUGCAGCCCCUGGCAUGGAGAGGAGCCCCUGAGCCGGGUGGGACGAGACCACGGGAGCCCAGCACCGCUCCAGCCUGGAAAUGUAACCAGCAGGUGCAGAGAUGGUGGAUACAAGGCCAUUUCUGGAGCCCCGUGCACAGGCCCGCAAAGAAAAGCAGUGUGAGAGAAGAGCUGGGUCUCUCGGGAGAGGAGCCGGAGCGGGGAGAGCGGAGUCGCGGCUGCCGCGCCGCACAGAGCCGCCUUUCAUUACAAAGGGCCGGGAAGCGGCUCCGAGCUGCCAGCAGCACCGACACGAUGCGAGAGGGGAUUUUUCAGGCUGAUGCAGCAACAAAGGCAGUUAAAUCUAGCCAGGGGGAAUUAUUUUUGGUAAUCCAUGUGUUGCUGCUCGUUGGGCGCUGGAGCAGAAGUAAGCAGGUAAGCGGCACUUUUAUCCCCAGCCCAGCUUCCCAUCACGACCAGGACUCCAGUGAGGGGCUCUGAGCCUCAAAGAAAAGCGGCAAGGCUGGGCCAAGGCAGCUGGAGCAGCGCUAAGAUCACAGCAGCUGGGAAUUCCAUCUCUUUUUGAUUGAAAUGAUGGCAGGGGGAAGCUACCUGGAGAGGAGCAGCUUCCACAAGCACCUGCUUUACUACAGGAGCUGUGUGUGUUGUCACCGGUGGUUUGGGGUGCUGGCACCCACCUGGAGUCACUCACUGCCUGGCUCUCCUGGCAGGGCAUAGGGGUGCAGGGCAUGGGAAAGCCACCCAUGACACCCACAUUCAUCACCCUGCAAGGACCCCAGCACCCUUGUGUAGGGAGAGGGGCAUGCUGUGGUCCUAGGGCAGGAGGAUGCUCCCAUCACUGGCUCUGCAGGGAGUCCAGGUGGUUCAAGCAUCUCAGUGGGACCUUGUGGAGACUCAAGCCCAGACCCUGAAGCCUGUUGGAGGCCAGGAGGGUGUUUCUGAAGGGAUUUUUGUUUCUAGAGACCUGCAUGCCAGCCCCAGUGCUCCCUAAGAAACACCCUGGGCUGUCCUGGGCAGCUGCCUUCCCACCAGUCCUGCCAGGUGGACGAUGAGCCAGUGGCCUGUGACUCAACACCUCGUCCCAGUGCUUCACAUCAGCAGGUGGGACGUGACACGAGCCCGGAGGCUGCAGUGAGCCAAGCCGGCGGGGGCAGCACUCAGAGAGCUGUGCUGCCCUGCAGGGACCCACGGCCCCUUGCCAUCCCCGGCUCGCGGCCGUGACGGGUGGCCACAACUCCUCUCCCUGAAGGAGCUUGUCAUUUCAUCCUUCUCCUGGUGUCACCUCCUCAGACAUCACCCUGCUGAGGUGAUGAGCUGAGCUCAGAAGGGGCUCUGCAGAUCCAGCUGGUGCAAUGGUGGUGUUGCUCCAUUCCCUCGCGAUGCCUUUGCAUCACCCUGGGCCGUGUGCCGUGCUGGUGCCGGCUGCUUCCUGUAGCUUGUGCCCACACUGUGCUCUGGUUAUCGGUGCAAUCACCACCACCGAGGUGCUCAGCAGCCUGUCCAGAGACCUGAACCCUGCCUUAGUGUGGGGUGAAGGCAGUUGAAAAUCCCUCUUCCUCCCCAUCCUCCUCCUCUUCUCCCUGCGUCCACCACCGCAACAAGAAUAAACCAAUUGCACCAUUAUUCGUUUCA